UUAGGUUAGAAUUGAAAAUCACACUAGAAUCUGAAGUUUUCUCUCUCCAUAUUAUCGAACGUAUUUUUGUGAGUAUUUAGAUACUUUGAGAGUUGCUAUUCAAUGCAAGUUUUCUUCAGCAUUACAUCCGAUAUUCCAGUCAGAAGUACUAUUCUUUGGAGGUAAGGGAUGUUAUUUUCUUCAUAAAUGAUGUUAUUCUUUGAAUAUCAUUAUACCAAAAU
rnacentral:lncRNA from 1 species